rnacentral:rRNA from 1 species
AUACGGAGGUUGCGAGCGUUAAUCGGAAUUACUGGGCGUAAAGCGCGCGUAGGCGGUUGGGUAAGUCGGAUGUGAAAGCCCCGGGCUUAACCUGGGAAUUGCAUUCGAUACUGCCCGGCUAGAGUAUGGUAGAGGGAAGCGGAAUUCCGGGUGUAGCGGUGAAAUGCGUAGAUAUCCGGAGGAACACCAGUGGCGAAGGCGGCUUCCUGGACCAAUACUGACGCUGAGGUGCGAAAGCGUGGGGAGCAAACAGGAUUAGAAACCCUAGUAGUCC